rnacentral:rRNA from 1 species
UACGGAGGGUGCAAGCGUUAUCCGGAUUCACUGGGUUUAAAGGGUGCGUAGGUGGGUUGAUAAGUCAGUGGUGAAAUCCCCGGGCUUAACCUGGGAACUGCGCUUGUAACUGAUAGGCUUGAGUGUGGCAGAGGGGGGUGGAAUUCCAGGUGUAGCAGUGAAAUGCGUAGAUAUCUGGAGGAACACCGAUGGCGAAGGCAGCCCCCUGGGCUAACACUGACGCUCAUGCACGAAAGCGUGGGGAGCAAACAGG